GGGCGGUUAGCUCAGUUGGUACGAGCGCUACAUUGACAUUGUAGAGGUCACAGGUUCGAUCCCUGUACCGCCCACCA
rnacentral:tRNA from 1 species